CCAGCACCCAGCCCCAGCACCGCCCGCCCCCUUGGAGCUGGGAAGAGGCUCCAGCGCCAUGGGCUGCUCCAGCAGCGCCCGCAGCCGGCCCCAGGAGCACCCCCCUGGCACCGGGGAGCCUCUGCGGGCAUCACCAGGUGAGAACACCCCCACCGCAGACGACUACGAGACCAUAGCUGACCAAACCCUGCUGGGCCCGGCGGAGGAGGUGAGUCUCGCCUCGGAGGAGACCAACCCGGGCGAGCGCCUGCCAGGGGACGAAGCUGCGGCUGUGAGCCCAGCCGAGGAGGAGAAGAUCGGUUCGGUCAGGGACAGGGAGGAGCCGGAGGGCAAGGAGCCGCUGCCUGCGGGGUCGGAGGAGAGCUCUGAGCUGCCGUCUGCGUGGCGAGAGGAGACCACAGGGCCUUCACCACCACCGGCGCCGGGAGAAGAUGCUGGGUCACUGCCACCAGGCCCGGCGGAGGACAGUGGGCUGGUAGAGGGCAGUGACAGCUCUGUAGUGGAAAUCCUCAACAAAGUGCAUGUUACUGAAGAGGACCACUUCAUUGAGGGGAAACAUAGUAUCAGCAGCCUUCCUCACUCCACAUUUGCCCUGAAGAAGUCCAAAAUGCAGAAGGACUGCUCUAUGGGAAGCCCAGAGCCCAUCGCAUGCACUGCC
rnacentral:lncRNA from 1 species